CGCUAGUACGGCGAGUGAGCGGGAUGAGCUCAAAUUUAAAAUCUGGCUGCCUCAGGUGGUCCGAGUUGUAGUCUCGAGAAGUGUUUUCCGCGUUGGCCUGUGUACAAGUCCUUUGGAAUAAGGCGUCAUAGAGGGUGAGAAUCCCGUCCUUGACACAGAUCCCCAAUGCUUUGUGAUGCGCUCUCAAAGAGUCGAGUUGUUUGGGAAUGCAGCUCAAAAUGGGUGGUAAAUUCCAUCUAAAGCUAAAUAUUGGCGAGAGACCGAUAGCGAACAAGUACCGUGAGGGAAAGAUGAAAAGCACUUUGGAAAGAGAGUUAAACAGUACGUGAAAUUGUUGAAAGGGAAACGAUUGAAGUCAGUCAUGCUCGUAGGGAUUCAACCGGUUCUGCCGGCCUAUUUCCCUACUUGCAGGCCAGCAUCAGUUUUGACCGGUGGAAAAGGUUGGAGGGAAUGUGGCAUCCUCGGAUGUGUUAUAGCCCUCUUUCGCAUACAUCGGUUGGGACUGAGGAACGCAGCACGCCUUUAUGGUCGGUCUUCGGACACGUACGUGCUUAGGAUGCUGGCAUAAUGGCUUUAAACGACCCGUCUUAACCC
rnacentral:rRNA from 1 species